rnacentral:rRNA from 1 species
CGCGUAGGCGGUUGUUUAAGUCAGGUGUGAAAGCCCCCGGCUCAACUGGGGAGAGCCACCUGAUACUGGGCGACUAGAGUGCAGGAGAGGAAAGUGGAAUUCCAUGUGUAGCGGUGAAAUGCGUAGAUAUAUGGAGGAACACCAGUGGCAAAGGCGGCUUUCUGGACUGCAACUGACGCUGAGGCGCGAAAGCUGGGGGAGCAAACGGGAUUAGAUACCCCGGUAGUCCCAGCCGUAAACGAUGGAUGCUAGGUGUGGGGGGUAUCGACCCCUUCCGUGCCGCAGUUAACACAAUAAGCAUCCCGCCUGGGGAGUACGGCCGCAAGGUUGAA